GUGGGAGUUGAUUCUGGGGUUAGGGAGGGAGAAGGGUAAAUCAGUCAUCCAAGCUUGGGAAUGUCAUGACCACCAAAUUUCACUGCCCUUACCUUAAAGGGAAUUUCUAACCCAAUUUCACAGGGAGAAAGAAGGAAAUGUGGAAGAAGUUCAUUUUUUCCACCUCAAAAUAUUUGUUCUAAAAGCGAAAUUUUCACCCCUCCUUGGAUUAUUUUACUUUUGAAAGAACUCAAGCACCUGUUUUAGAAAUUUGAUGAAAGUUUUGGACCUUACUUUGGAUUAAAAAAUUCAUUUACCUACCAAAUUUAGCAGUUUUGGAGCUGAGGUUAAAAAUCUUUGUUGUAAUCUCAAAGGGAAGGACAUUCCACCUCCUCUCCAGAUUAGCCUUUUCAUAGGCUUCAAAACAACUGGAACACCUGAGCCAUGUCUUUUCCCAGACUAGUGAUAACUGCAGGAUGGACUCUCCCAACGCUGGGCAGUGCUCCCAGUGAGCCACGGGGUCGUGAGUGCACUGUCUGCUAAGCUAUGAGGUAUUGCAAGACAGGAACUUGGACCAUGAUAUCUAUGGUUGUCAUCUCCAGCUUCGGGAAGAUGUCUCACUCUUCAGCAGCAAGAGUUGAAGGUCCCAGCAUGGGUGAUAAUGUUCUUCCCUUUGCCUCACUCUGGCUUUGCAGUUUGAAAUUUAAUCUUUGUUUUUACAAAGUUUGUUACAUCGGAGAAAAAAGAGAUUUUCCAAGAAGAGAGGACAUUCUUAAGUAAGCAAAUGAGAAAACUAGAGAAAAUGUCCAAUCUCUGAUGUAUAUUUAUAUUUUAUUUUAAAAUUUAAUUAAUUAAGCUAUAUUAGGGGUUGGAAUCAAGGGCCUUUGAAAUGAGCAGAUGAUCUGAGUGGACCCCAGUGUCGCUGGAACCUUGGAAGCGGUCCUUCCCUGAUGACAAGCACACAAUUGCACCUACAUCUGUGGGCUCAGGGCACUGUGUCAGCCCCCUUUUAUUGUGGACAAGGAUCUGCUGGAACCGCAGUGCAUCUGUGGAGCUUUCUCUCACCCCUUGGAAUAUCAAGAUGAGUUGGGGAUAAAGCCCCCUAGGAGGUCUUUCUCCAGUCUGUCUGGCACAAGUAAAACGCUGUUAGUCAAAGCAGCAGCAAACCAAAGCUCAACCACUUUCUUUUCUUUUUUUUUUGAUACAGAGGAUCGAACUUGAGAAUUUGUGCUUGCAAGGCAGGUGCCAGAACCACUGAGCUAAAUUCCUGGCCCUCAGCCACUUUCUUUUUUUUUUGGCAGUACCGGGGAUUGAACUCAGGACCUACGCUUUCUAAGCAGGCGCGGCACCACUGAGCUAAAUCCCCAGCACUCAGCCACUUUCUUGAGAGUGGUUGGCUGUUUGUUCAGAAGUACCUGGGCGAUGGGCCCAAACUCAUAAGGGAGUUGUUUUGAGUUGCUUAAGUGCACCAUCCACCAUUUUUUAUUGAUGAAAUCAAUGCCAUUGGGACGAAAAGAUAUGAUACUCUGGAGGUGAGAGAGAUGCAGUGAAGAGUGUGGGAACUUUUGAACCAGUUUGAUGGAUUUGAUUCACAGGGAGACAUGAAGGCUAUGGGCACAAACCAAAUAGAAACUCGGGAUCCAGCACUGAUCAGACAAGGGCGCAUCUGCAAGAUCAAGAUUCCCCCGCCAGAUGGAAAGGCGAAGAAGAAGAAGUGCAUCUCUCAGGUUCACACCAGCAGGAUGACACUGGCCGGUGAUGUAACCCUGGACAACCUGAGCAGGGCAGAGGAUGAGCCCCUGGUGCUGACAUCAAGGGAUCUGUGCAAAAGCUGCUCUCACAGCCUUGAGAGAGCCAGAAGGAAAGUAAUGAAGACUUCAAAAAAUCUUUCAAAUGUUCUGUAUGAGAGGGCACCCCUGAGAGACUCUCUCCUGAACCACAGUUGCCUUCAGGAAGGUAGUUGGGACUUUUCCUAGCCCCUGGGAAGGAUGAGAUUGGGAACGUGCCUGAGGGAGACCAUGCUGCAGUUGAUUUUUAUUGACAAUGUGUGGUGUUUCUUUUCCAGAAUGGCACAUUGGAUGCCCACGGAUGGCCUUGUCUGUGCUCGCUGUGAUGCUUGCUCUGUUUCCCAAUAAAGUGUGCUCUCUCACAAAAAAUUAAAUAAAUUAAAAAAUGUUUAAAGCUCAGGUGAAACAUAUUUUGAUAUGCCAGAAAUAACUAAAGG
rnacentral:lncRNA from 1 species